UACGGGGGGAGCAAGCGUUGUUCGGAUUUACUGGGCGUAAAGGGCGCGUAGGCGGCCAGCACAAGUCAGUUGUGAAAUCUCCGGGCUUAACUCGGAAAGGUCAACUGAUACUGUGCGGCUAGAGUGCAGAAGGGGCAACUGGAAUUCUCGGUGUAGCGGUGAAGUGCGUAGAUAUCGAGAGGAACACCUGCGGCGAAGGCGGGUUGCUGGGCUGACACUGACGCUGAUGCGCGAAAGCCAGGGGAGCGAACGGG
rnacentral:rRNA from 1 species